rnacentral:misc_RNA from 1 species
GAUGAAGAACGUAGCAAAAUGCGAUAAGUAAUGUGAAUUGCAGAAUUCAGUGAAUCAUCGAAUCUUUGGACGCACAUUGCGCCCGCCAGUAUUCUGGCGGGCAUGCCUGUUCGAGCGUCAUUUCAACCCUCAAGCACAGCUUGGUGUUGGGACUCGCGUUAAUUCGCGUUCCCCAAAUUGAUUGGCGGUCACGUCGAGCUUCCAUAGCGUAGUAGUAAAACCCUCGUUACUGGUAAUCGUCGCGGCCACGCCGUUAAACCCCAACUUCUGAAUGUUGACCUCGGAUCGGGUAGGAAUACCCGCUGAACUUAAGCAUAUCAAUAAGCGGAGGA